rnacentral:rRNA from 1 species
CUGCGAACGGCUCAUUAUUAACACCCGUAAUCUACCCAGUUUUCAUAUCCAAAACGGAUAUCUGCGUUAAUUUUGGAGCUAAUACGUGCACCAACGUACCGCUAGCAAUAGUGGUAUGCACUUGUUAGUAUAAGGCCGACUGGGGCAACCCGAUUGGUGACUCUGAACAAUUUUUGCGGAUCGCAUGGUCUUGUACCGGCGACGUACUGGUCGAGCGGGUGCCCUAUCAACUAUUGAUGGAAGUCUAUGUGUCUUCCAUGGUUGUAACGGGUAACGGAGAAUCAGGGUUCGACUCCGGAGAGCUAGCCUUAGAAACGGCUAUCACAUCCAAGGAAGGCAGCAGGCGCGUAAAUUACCCACUCUCAAUUCGAGGAGGUAGUGACUAUCAAUAACGAGACAGAUCUCUUUGAGGUCUGUCAUUGAAAUGAGCACAACUUAAAGACUUUAACGAAGUCUAUGGGAGGGCAAGUCUGGUGCCAGCAGCCGCGGUAAUUCCAGCUCCCAACGUGUAUAUCGUCAUUGCUGCGGUUAAAAAGCUCGUAGUUGGAUCUUAGCUUAUGACAGUAGUUCACCAUGUGUGAUACUGCGUGUCUGAGCUGUUUCGCCGGUUUUCCUUGGUUUCGGCCUUGGUGACUGGUGUUGUAACUUUGAUUAAAUCAAUGUGAUUAAAACAGGCGUUUGCUUGUAUGCUUUAUCAUGGAAUAAUAGAAUAUGACUUCGGUCCAUUCUGUUGGUCUUGGGAUCGAAGUAAUGAUUAAAAGGAACAACUCGGGGGCAUCCGUAUCGCUGCGUGAGAGGUGAAA